UACGGGGGGGGGCAAGCGUUGUUCGGAAUUACUGGGCGUAAAGCGCGCGUAGGCGGCUUUUCAAGUCAGGCGUGAAAGCCCCAGGCUUAACCUGGGAACUGCGUUUGAUACUGUUAAGCUAGAGUGUGGAAGGGGCUACUGGAAUUCCGUGUGUAGCGGUGAAAUGCGUAGAUAUACGGAGGAACACCAGCGGCGAAGGCGGGUCUCUGGGCCGAUACUGACGCUGAGGAGCGAAAGCGUGGGGAGCGAACAGG
rnacentral:rRNA from 1 species